rnacentral:rRNA from 1 species
GUGGGGAAUCUUCCGCAAUGGACGAAAGUCUGACGGAGCGACGCCGCGUGAGUGAAGAAGGCCUUCGGGUCGUAAAGCUCUGUCAUCAGGGACGAACGGCCGGUGGAGUGGAAAGCCACCGGAUUGACGGUACCUGAGAAGGAAGCCACGGCUAACUACGUGCCAGCAGCCGCGGUAAUACGUAGGUGGCAAGCGUUGUCCGGAAUUAUUGGACGUAAAGCGCGCGCAGGUGGGAUCUUAAGUCCAUUUUUAAAGUUCGGAGCUCAACUCCGUGAUGGGAUGGAAACUGGGAUUCUUGAGUACCGGAGAGGAAAGCGGAAUUCCCCGUGUAGCGGUGAAAUGCGUAGAUAUGGGGAGGAACACCAGUGGCGAAGGCGGCUUUCUGGACGGUGUCUGACACUGAGGCGCGAAAGCCAGGGGAGCGAACGGGAUUAGAUACCCGGGUAGUCC